rnacentral:rRNA from 1 species
UUAAAUUGAAGAGUUUGAUCAUGGCUCAGAUUGAACGCUGGCGGCAGGCCUAACACAUGCAAGUCGAGCGGAAACGAGUUAUCUGAACCUUCGGGGAACGAUAACGGCGUCGAGCGGCGGACGGGUGAGUAAUGCCUAGGAAAUUGCCCUG